rnacentral:rRNA from 1 species
AGUGAACGCUGGCGGUAGGCCUAACACAUGCAAGUCGAACGGCAGCAUAGUAAGAGCUUGCUCUCACGGGUGGCGAGUGGCGGACGGGUGAGGAAUACAUCGGCAUCUACUUUUUCGUGGGGGAUAACGCAGGGAAACUUACGCUUAUACCCCUUACGUACUAUGGGUGAACGCCGGGUAUCGUCUGACCUUUCGCCGUUUAUUGAGCCGAUGUCGGAUUAGUUGGUUGGAGGGGUAGUGGCCCACCAAGUCGACGAUGCGUAGCGGGUCUGCGAGGAUGAUAAGCCACACUGGAACUGAGACACGGUCCAGACUCCUACGGGAGGCAGCAGUGGGGAAUGUUGGACAAUGGGAGCAAGCCUGGUCCAACCAAGCCGCGUGGGUGGAGGAGGCCUUCGGGUUGUAAAGCCCUUUUGUUGGGAAGGAAAAGCAGAAGGUUAAUACCCCGAUGUUCUGAAGGUACCCAAAGAAUAAGCACCGGCUAACUUCGUG